rnacentral:rRNA from 1 species
AGGUAAAGGCUUACCAAGGCGACGAUCAGUAGCUGGUCUGAGAGGACGACCAGCCACACUGGGACUGAGACACGGCCCAGACUCCUACGGGAGGCAGCAGUGGGGAAUUUUGGACAAUGGGGGAAACCCUGAUCCAGCCAUGCCGCGUGAGUGAAGAAGGCCUUCGGGUUGUAAAGCUCUUUCAGCCGGAACGAAACGGUCACGGCUAAUACCUGUGACUACUGACGGUACCGGAAGAAGAAG